UACGUAGGGUGCAAGCGUUAAUCGGAAUUACUGGGCGUAAAGCGUGCGCAGGCGGUUUUGUAAGUCUGUCGUGAAAUCCCCGGGCUUAACCUGGGAAUGGCGAUGGAGACUGCAAGGCUAGAGUUUGGCAGAGGGGGGUAGAAUUCCACGUGUAGCAGUGAAAUGCGUAGAGAUGUGGAGGAACACCGAUGGCGAAGGCAGCCUCCUGGGUCAAAACUGACGCUCAUGCACGAAAGCGUGGGGAGCAAACAGG
rnacentral:rRNA from 1 species